AAGAAAAUUAAAAACUAUAAAAAAUUAUUUAAACAUACUUGAAAUAAAUAUAGUAUAAGAAUGAAAAUUGUAAUUUAGGAAUGUAAUUUAUGAUAUGUGCAAAUACUCUGUAUGUAUAUACUAUGUAUGGCUUGAUCAUACAUAUAUAUCAAUCAUUUCUUUACAUUUAAAUCAGUCACUGUGUAAUCCCAUUCAGUAAUCAAAAACUUAUUUACAGGGUAUCUCAUAGUCAUCUAUGCACUAGUUCAGCUGCGCUCUUGGUCAUUUUCGCAGUCAUUAGCGUUUGUCAGAUAAAAUAUUAAUGAGCACUCACUGAAUUUUAAAUGUCGCUCAGUGGCAAAAACGCCGGGAUAAACUUGGCUGCCAGAUAAUGGGCUUUGAUUUAGUGGGGAAACACCCCACUUAAGUGGCUAUACGAAAAAAGAAAAGGAAAAAGGAAAGGAAAAAGUGUUGCUUACUUUGUAAAGCUGCAACAGAAUUGGCAAUAAACUCUUUGUAGCAUUUAACACCAUCGAAAGCCUUUAAGUUCUUUGAUGGGAUAAAAUGCUAACAGAUUUUUGUUGACAUCAACUCUCCAUUCAGUCUAUUGACAUAAAAAUGUAGAAAGCUAAUCAUUGGCUUCAGUGGUAAUACUAUCUACUACCUAUUUAUUUACUAACAGUAUUCGAAUAUUGGAAUAUUAUCUACUACUUUUCAACGACUGCCUUUUAGUUAUACUACAGUUUGAUAAAUACUACUACUACAGUUUUGAUAGCUACUACAAUUUUUGUAAUACUACUACUAUGACAGCUACUACUGCCAUGACUACUCUUACUCUUACUAUUACUAUUACUACUACUACUAUUUACAACAAGCUUCUUCUCACUUCUACUACCACUAGGCUAUACUAUUUAUCACGACUUUUAGAUUCUGCUACUCUUUUCUUCUAGCUUCUGCUACUAUUUACUAUUAUUAGCACUUACUACUAUUUACUACUACUUCUGGCGUUGACUACUAUUACUAGCUUCUCUAGCUCUACCGUCUACUACCAUUGACUAUAGUUUCCACUGGUAUUUAGUGCAACUAUUUCUUACUGCAAUCUACUAAUACCGGACUCUACUACCAACUACUACUGCUUGUAAUACUAUCUGUUACUAUUAUCUCCUUCUACCACAUUCUACUACUUUUCCUACUACUUUCUACUGAUUCUAGUUUUUUUCUGCUGUCUGCUUCUAAUAUUACUCUAUCGCAUAAUAAUACAACCAACUUUGACUAUUCCUAGUACUACAACGACUAUCUACUUGGUAUAAUAUCAGAUUUACAAUGUGUAAACCCUUUGGUUACAUUAAAAUUUACUUCUCAGCCCACUCAUGAAUAACCAAGUUUGUUCAAAUAAUAACAAAAGUUUCCUCUUCUUGCAAAAUUCAGCAUUAUAAUUGGAAUCUGAAUACAUUUGGCAAUAGCAACGCCAGGUUGCCACAAAUUGUGGCCAAAAAUUAUUCGUUGGCUUAGUUGCAGCGCUUGACUGCAUUUCCAAUUUCCCAAUUUGAUGCCAAUUGGGACAGGCAGACAGUCAGACAGACAGAUAUCUGUGCGGCUGGGCGUAAAGUGUGGCCAAAAUAGCCAAAAAGUUGAAAUGCCUGCGAAAACCAUGGAAAUUUUGCCAAUCAAUGGCAAUUCGAGAUGAGCCAAAACAUUUAGCCCGGCCUAGAGCUGAAGACCACAAAUGCGUGUGUAAAGCGUAAGGGUAAGAAGAGAGGGUUAUGCGGGGCUAGGGCUUGGGUGUGAGACACUCAAAACUUGUGCGCGCAACAAUCACAUAAAGUUUUAAUUAAUUUCCAACAAGCGAACAGCAAAGACAAACAAACAAAACUAAACGCAGCUAAAAGCCAACUUUAUGCGAAAUUUAUAGCUAAGAGCCAAGGGGGAUACAAUGAAGCGCGGCUCAAGUGGAUGAAAGCAUGUGGCACGCUUUGUCAACACAGUUUGUCAGCAGCGGAAACGCUGCUGUCACGUUUCAGACGGUUGCCAGCAUUUCCGUUUCCGACUCACGCACACAAUCCAAAACACUCUCACAUACGCAGAGAGGCAAACAAAGCUUGAGUGAGACCAGCCCAAAUAAAUAUUGCCGGCAAAUUGGCAUUGAGCAAAAAAAAAAAAAAAACUUAAGUGGCAUCCACAAAAAAAUAAGUAAAUACUAUGCUCAUUGCCAUUUGCACUCGAGCAGAACUUCACUCAAUACCCGCACAUUGUAAGCUUGCAAAAGCUCAUUUUGCUAUAGCAAACACAAAGCUAACGCAAAGCUUGCAACAGCUGGUUGUCGCUUUUGAGUGUUUCUUGUUUACAGUUUGCGCUCAAACUCAAAGCCGGUUUCGGCUGCGCUCGUUAUAGCUGUCUUUGUUGCGCUUGCAUACAUAUACAAAUUUCUUGACGAUAUUUUCCAUUCCAAAACUGUUCUUGUUGUUGUUUGGCUGGCUUACUAACGGUGCAUUCGUGCUCUUUGAGUCAUACGCAUGCUUUGCCUUUGUUCUGCAAAAAAAAAAAAAAAAAAAAAAAAAAAAAAAAACAAAACAUAAAAGAACAGGAAUUAGAGGUAAGGCAAAAACAGCUGCUCAGCAGUAAUUGAUGCAUUGAUAACAAGAUUUUAGGCAUUUUUUAGUAUAUUAUUUAUUAUAUUAAAUAAGUUAAAUAGAAUAUCGGUAUAAAAUACCUACACAUCUGAUUAUUAAAAAUAUGAGAAACAGAAAUUGUCAACCAUAAAUGGAAAAUUUUAAUACAAACUUCUUCACCAUUGAAAGAAAGCAAAGUAGUAAGUUUUUGUUUAUCUGGCAACCUGUUGCGUCUAGUCAGUAGCCACUGUUACUCCAAAAAGCUGCCAGAUUGGAGAUAGGCAGACAAAAUGUGCUUAUUUUCGAUUUACGACUUAUAUGCCUCUCUAUCUGCAGUCAGAGAGCGGCAAUCAAUUACGGCCAUGGUCAUAUUAGUACCAACAGCAACAGCAACAACAAUAGCGAUUGCCCAUUUCCCAGGUCACCAACACACAGAGACAGAGAAUGAGAGAGAUAUAUUGAGACUGAUAAGAAAUCUGGCAACACCAAAGCAAAAUUAACGCUAUCAACUGUUAAAUGUGAAUGUAAAUGUGAAUGCGAAUGCAACUGAAAAGGCGAGUAAAAACUACAAAAGACAACAAACUACAUAACACGCGCACACAUAGACACACUUAUAUGGCGUGCUAUUAUGUAGGAAGAGCGCACGCGAUAGAGACUAAGAGAGCGCGGCCAGCUGAAAUUCAUUAAUUGCUCGCCUUAACAAUGUAAAUAAUACGCAAAGCCAAAAGCGAACAAAAUCAAGUGCUCAAUGUUCUUUGAGCGUUUUGCUUUGUUUAUUUUAGGCGAAUUCGCCGCGCAGCGCAGUCGUCGCCGCCGCUGCCGUUCGUUGCGAUUGUGACUGGCACCGUAAUUUUGAGCACAACUCGUUUUUAGUAUCUCACAGAUAUUCGACGUGUUUGGUUGGCGCGACUGCAAAAGCGGCCCGAGAAAAGUGAUUUGAAAUAAAAGAAUAAAUAAUAAAGAAAGAAAAUUUAAUAAAAACAAAAAACUUUAAUGAUAUAACAAUUUAACAAAUUAAGAGUGUAAAUGAUUCAAAUCUUUUCGGGCAGAGUUUUGUAGAAAAAACCUCGAAUUCAUUGCGUAAAGUAAAUGCAAGAUGCGCGCGUCGUUUUUUUUGUCCGUUUUUUUCGUUUUGUUCUUCGCUAAAGCAAAUCUAAAAUAAAUAAAAAAAAAAAAAAAAAAAACAACUAAAACGUAAGCGAUCAACGGUCGCGUGCUCAUUCUGCUUCUUUCGUUUUGGCAAGUGUGCGUGCGUGCGUGUGUUGGUGUGUGUAAGGAGGUGUGAAAAUAUCUACAAAUCUAUCUAUCUUCGCGGCUGCGUAUAAUCAAAUAAUAGGCGCAAAAUUAUGCACAAGAAGAAAAAGAAAUAUUCGGCAAGCCGCUAAAAAUAAAUGCAAAUAGCGAAUAGAGUGUGAGCAAGUGCAAAAAGUUACAGCAAUAACAAAAGAAAGAAAGAAAGAAAAAAGAGUGUCCAAAGCGGAAUGCAAUUGUCUUGAAAGUGUCGCAAAACAAAGCUACAGUUCGAGCUCAUUAAUAUCAAACAAUUUUCAUAAUAAGUACAAAACUUGUUUUAAAUAAUAUAAACAAAUUUAUUAUGCAAGUGCAACAAAGUGUAAAACCAAACAGAAAUAAAAACAACAACGUGAACAACAACAACAACAGCAGCGUGAGCAACAAGAUAAACAAUAAACAAUACCAAAGUCAACAAAAUCUACAAAAAUUUGACAAAAGUCCACGGAGCGGCCCUUUGGCCACACUAAAGCCAACAAAAUUGAGUCCUCAACAACAACUAAACAAAA